rnacentral:rRNA from 1 species
GCGACCCCAGCUCAGGCGGGGCCACCCGCUGAGUUUAA